UAUCUGUAAGGUGUCCUUCGGGACUAUGAACAUAAACGCGCUUGUAAUAAGCGGAUCGGACCCGGGGGCGGUACCCGGCGACUCCACCAACUAUCUGCUCAUUUGGCAGCUGUGGGGUCGAAAUAGGAUCGACGAACGUCUAAAGAGGUUAGCUUUGUUUCGGUGAGUUACCACCGUUAUCGGUACGAAAUUGUAUAGUUGCAAAUGACAACCAUGCUCCGGCUAUGGCGGUGGCUGCGUAAGCAGUCUUCGUUGCCGAAACUUAAGUCCUUAGGCCUAGCAGCUUAAGGCGGGGUUCGCAGGUACCUGGCAACAGAAACCUG
rnacentral:tmRNA from 1 species